GUACUUGUUCCAGCAGCACAUAUACUAAAACUGGAACAAUACAGAGAAGAUUAGUAUGGCCCCUGCACAAAGAUGAUACACAGAUUCGUGAAGUGUCCCAUAUAAAA
ensembl:snRNA U6 U6 spliceosomal RNA